CGGACGAACGCUGGCGGCGUGCUUAACACAUGCAAGUCGAACGGUGACGAGGAGCUUGCUCCUCUGAUCAGUGGCGAACGGGUGAGUAACACGUGAGCAACCUGCCCCAGACUCUGGGAUAACAGUUGGAAACAGCUGCUAAUACCGGAUACGAGACGGAGAGGCAUCUCUACCGUCUGGAAAGUUUUUCGGUCUGGGAUGGACUCGCGGCCUAUCAGCUAGUUGGUGAGGUAAUGGCUCACCAAGGCGACGACGGGUAGCCGGCCUGAGAGGGCGACCGGCCACACUGGGACUGAGACACGGCCUAGACUCCUACGGGAGGCAGCAGUGGGGAAUAUUGCACAAUGGGCGAAAGCCUGAUGCAGCGACGCCGCGUGAGGGAUGACGGCCUUCGGGUUGUAAACCUCUUUCAGCAGGGAAGAAGCGAAAGUGACGGUACCUGCAGAAGAAGCACCGGCUAACUACGUG
rnacentral:rRNA from 1 species